GCCGAGAACCUAUCGCGGACUUUAAAUCGGUACAAAUCAGGUAGAAAUCGCAACAGGAAAACCGAUAGCCGGCUAGUCACCGCACAAACCUUAAAACCGAGAGUAAGCCUAGGUCUUGCCCUAAACCCAUCGCAUUGGUCUCAGACAUCUCAAAGACAUGAUAUCUAAACGAUACGAGAUCCUAAAACAUGUCUUUUCGUUCAUAUCUCAACAUUCCCGAAAGAUCGUAAAUAAUUUUUACGAAAACUCACGUCUCGAACAAACUAACAGAUUGAAGGCCUCAACGAAGUUAAAUAUCAGACGACAACCCAUGUUUACUUCAAAUCCACUCUAAACAAAGUAACUCAAACAAACAUCCAUUAUAU
rnacentral:lncRNA from 1 species